UACAGAGGGCGCGAGCGUUGUCCGGAAUUACUGGGCGUAAAGCGUGCGCAGGCGGUGCUGUAAGACCGAUGUGAAAUCCCCGGGCUCAACCUGGGAAUGGCAUUUGGGACUGCAAGGCUCGAGUGCGGCAGAGGAGACUGGAAUUCCUGGUGUAGCAGUGAAAUGCGUAGAUAUCAGGAAGAACACCCGUGGCGAAGGCGGCUCUCUGGGACGGUACUGACGCUGAGACGCGAAAGCGUGGGGAGCGAACAGG
rnacentral:rRNA from 1 species